GGGCUAUUAGCUCAGUCGGUUUAGAGCGUGCCCUUGAUAAGGGUGAGGUCGAUGGUUCAAGUCCAUCAUGGCCCU
rnacentral:tRNA from 1 species